rnacentral:lncRNA from 1 species
AAGACAUCCAGACUAUAGCAACACUCCUCCCUAAAAGGUGGGACCUCAUUCUCCUUCUCUUGAAUGUGGACCGAACUUAGUGAAUCACUUCUAACAAACAGAAUGUGGCAGAAGUGACAGCGUGUGACUUCUGAGGCUAGGUCAUAAAGGACACUGUCUUCCUCUCUUGCUCUGUGAGAAGCCAGCUGCUAUGUAGGGAGAACAUUCCAACAGCCUGUGGGGAGGCCCCUGUGGGAAAGAGCUGAGGCAUCUCACAACAACUGGCACUGACUUGCCAGCCACGGGAGUGCAUCCUGCAGACUCAGUCAAGCCCCAUGACUGGAGCCCCAGCUGACAUCUUGACUGCAGCCUCACGAGUGAAUCUGAGCCGGAACUGCCCACCAAGCUGCUCCUGAAUCCCUGACCCUCAGAAACCGAUGAAUGGAGAGAGGCCAGCUUCCAGCAUCAAGCUGAGAUGGGAGCCGUGUUGUAGGCCAGCCUUCCCUGAGAAAAGCAGAGAAGCACCCACACCUACUGCCAAACAUCAAUAUGUUUGUCAUUAAUCAAAACUGCAGUUAAAAAAAAAAUCAAAGGGAAAAUAAGGAUCUGGACGUACUUGUUGCUGUGCGCCUUCUCCAAGAGGAGCUGUGCCUCAGCCUGGGAGGUUCCGCCCGCGCUGGCUCCAAGGCUUAGCUUCUGGGAGGAUAACUCCAGCCAAGCAUCGUUUCAAGUCAUCAAAGACAUGGUCUGCUGCUGUUUGCCUGCAAACAUUUGCAUGUUGAAAGCACUGAACGUUCUCAGUUUUUUCAAGUGUUGUUUUAACUACAGAAACACCUAACCCCAAACAGCCCAAGACUUUCAUGUGACAUACGGUGUGUAUCAGCUUUUCCACCCUGACCUGAGAAGUGUCUUUAUUCAUUUUCAAGUGGUCCCAGAUCCUCUAAUUUCUAAUUAGCAAGUCAUCUAAUUGAAAGCCAUGCAAACCCCUUCCCUUUGACAGAUGGGCCUGCCCACCGGCCUGGUUUACGGGAAAGCAAUGCAAAGCAGUUCUUUUCCUAAAGCAGGGGGAAUCUCUGUUCCUCCUUCGUUGGAGGUGCCCAGCGUGGCACUGCCUGUACUCGCACUGCGGAACGUAACUGGAGCCACACGUAACAAACUCAGAUUCUCUGCUAUGAUGGCACCCUUGCAUGGUUCCCUCUAGGACCGGAAUUGCUGAGCGCCCUGGUGCCCACUCGGCACGCAACACUUACGUGAAAUUCCACAGAGCUUUUGUUUCCACAGGAGUAGGCGUCCCCGUGAUCACAGAAACACCUAAAAUUCCAAAGUUUAACACUGCCAAAAAAUUUGCGGAAAAAAGUACUAUUUCAUAAAAUAAAAACACCGUUAGAACAUCUGCCACAAAGAUUAGAAAAACAUGAGAUUUAAUUAUUUCACUACCUGGCCAGGAUGCUCCCCUCCACCCCAACUACCAGCCACAGAUGGUCCACAUAAGUACAAUAAUGCGUGAUUCCUGCACGCCUGCGUGGCAUGCUUGGCUGAGAAAGAUGAGAAUCGAAGGGGAAAAAGCAGCUUCUAUGUUUUUUUAAACAUAUCUGCUCUAACUUACGUUCUCUUUUUUUUCUCUAUUUAAAAUUCAAGAAUAAAUUAAAAGCUAAAUCCACUAAGACUUUAAAUGGGCUUCAUGGAGAGGAAUAAAUGACAUUACAUUUAUCUGUUGAAAACAUUAAUGGAAAACUAAUUUGAGAAAGAAAAGACUAAUUAAUAAGAGCAGAAAUGACUACUUAACUUCCUUUGAUCUUAGAAAUUAUUAAAUAGUAAAAUAACCCCUCCGUUUUAUUAGGCACAAUCAAACACAGAAGGCACAGGAAGAGGAAGCAGAUAAAACACCGGCCUUAGGAGACCGGUGGACGCCCUCUGCCGUGGGAACUGCAGUCACCCUGGUUUCCGACUGGCACUCAGGGCCCCUCGUGCGGUUCCCCGGCUUUGGCGCAACCCACCUGCAGGUGUCAGUCUCCGUGGCAGGGAGGGAAGUCACGAGCUCUGAGACGCUCGCUGCCCCCACGGGCCAUCCGGCUCUGGAGAGCCUGCAGGUACCACACUGGCCUGAGAACUGUGAGCAAAUCCUUGAAGUCAUCCAAGUUCCUGCUUUCAAAUUCCUUACAAUUGAACUGGAAAGACUAAACAAACUCACAUGUAAACCAAAGAGGCGCUCUUGGAAAAUGGAAACAGGAAAGCCAGGAGAAAGGAAGGUCCAGGUUUUAGAACUCUAGGGCAGAUAGUAAGAGUCCAGAUCAAGCUUCGCCAGAGCUCCGAGGAGGAAGCAGUCAAUGUCUGGAUUACACACCUGAUGCCCCUGCUAACUCUGAAUCAGCUUAGCUCUGCUCAUGUAAAUGAGACCGAGCAAUAGAAUCUCAGCACCACAAUCUGCAAGCUCCCGUCCCCUAAGAGCAUACUAUUGGCACAUCAUAAAACUGCUUUGUAAACAGAAAGGCAUGCACACAAUUGCUAUCAAUUCUGUAACGGCACAAUUACGUGUGACCAUUAUUUUGUUCCCAGGACUUAGCAAAACGCCUGGUCCUUGGUGGGUGCCCAAUUAAGAAGGCUAAAUGAAUCGCCGUUAAGAUGGUAAAGCAAAUGCUCCGUAAUUGGACUUUAAAACCACAUAAAGGAACUAACAAGUUUAUACGUUUUAACUAGGUAUAUUUGUAGGGUUAUUUGAUUUCGUUGAUUUCUAAAAGAAAAGAGAAAUUUUACUGAAAUUGCUUUGGACAGAAAGCUGACUUAGAGAAGGCUCCAGUAUAUCAUAAGGCCCUUAGAGAAUCAGCCAUGUGGAGGUUCGAUAACUCAGAGCAGCAAGGAGAGGAACAGCAGGAAUCAGGCACUACGUUGUCAUCCUCAUUUUAUAGACAGGGAUGGAAGCUUAAAGAGCUUAAGGAGAUUGUCCAAGGACUCAUGGCAACUAAGAGCCAGCCCACUUCCAAGUCCAUCCUCUUAACUCUCACACUCAAUUACUUUAUCCAAAACCUUGUCACAAACACACCUUCACCUAUAACUUGAACCACAGCAUGUUCUCCAAGACUGGCCUUAAAAAGGUCCUAAGAAUUACAAUUCUCCUAUUCCUAAAAUAGGUAGGAUUCAGUUCAGCUGAGAUAUCAAAUCCAAAAUAACAGUGGCUUACCUCACACAAAUGAAGUCCAGAGGUGAGCAGUACAGGACUGGUAGGGCAGCUUCGGAAAAGUACUCGGGGUCCCCCUACCUUGCUGCUCUACCCUCCUCACUGCCCAAGAUGGCUGCUGAACUCCAGUCAUCACAUCCAUGCUCCAUCAGCAAAAUGUAGAAAGAUAAUAAUAUGAUGGUUCCUGGAAAUGGCACAUGGCUCCAUUUACAUCUAUCACAUGACCAUGCCUAGCUGCAAGGGAGACUGGGAAAUGUAGCCUUUUAAUUCUAGGUGGCCAACUGUCCAGCUAAAAACUAGACAUCCUAUUGCUAAGGGAUAAGGAGAGAAUGUUAUUAGAGAACUAUCUAGCAGUCUUGGUCACAUGCAUAUGAUUAACUUAGUGGAUGUGAGGACAAUGUGUCUACAAAGUCUGGAACCCUAUCCAUCAAGAGAAUUGAAAUAAAUAUAUAAGAUUGUCAUUUUGUCCUUGAUAGCUUGUUCUGCUAGUAAGAGCAGAAAGUUCUUUAUGAAUCAACUCAAUAAUUUUUUAAAGUUUCCUCUUCCUUUAUCUUUGGAGCAAUGCCCGUUAAAUUUCAUAAAAAGCAUUUGCCUGCCUGUAGCACGCACAUCCCUUCGAGUAUGUAUUGAGGGCUCACGAUGUACCAAGCACCCACCCGACGCUGGGCGCUCCUGGGAACCACAACGGACCCAGGCCCACCCCUCUGCAAGCUGAGGUCACACCAACACUACACAGAGAGGAAUGGUACAGGGGCCAUGUGAGCACAGGCCGUGGCCCGGAUUCCUUCCUCCGGAGCCAUCUGAGAGGGGACCCUGAGGCAAGGCAUUCACGCUGAGCCCUGGGUGACGAGGAGGCUUUGCUAGGCCUGGGGUCCCCAGCCAAGUUCAUCUGGAAAGUCUCCUCAAGCUCGGGUCUGCUGCAACAAAGCGCACAGGUUUUUCCCUCCACUGACAGUCUUCACAUGUACAAGAACUUGCAAGUCCCUUCCCUUCCAACAGGCCUCUGAAAUAACUGAUGCCACCUCCGCUUCCCAGGCUGAGGAGAUGAAGCAGGAGGCCUUCCAUCCUCGGACACAAGGGCAUAGCCAACGGAGCGCAUCUCGAAGGACAGACUGGGCCUGGCGUCCCCAUUACGCUUAAUACUCGGAGAACUGAAAGUAUCUGCAUAAAGCCACCGAGAAAGAGAACCACUGUCAGGACUGACAGCUUCACGGCCGGUGACUUGAUUCAUAGGCUGCUCAGUGACAUGAACGUAAAAGCCGGGACCCUCAAGCAACGUUUUAGCUUGGGCUCUUUUCCCCUUAAUUACAAAAUAAACUAAGCAAAGGAGGUCUCCACUCUCCCGAGGCUCCCCCCAGCUGUGUCAAUCAGAUACUGUCCCCACUGCACCAGAUCAAUAGGCCUUUCGGCUCGGGACGUAAUUGGCUGCCUUCCUCCAUCACAGGUGCAGGUGGGUGGGGACAGAGCUAGCCUCCCUCCCAGGGGUCUCAGGCUUCCUUCACCCACAAAAGAGGAAUUCAGCCUCGGGCAGGUCUUAGCUCUACUGAUGAACCUUCAGCCGGGAGGGAGGGCCCCCUAGUCAGAGGCAGACAUCUACCUGUUCAACAGAGCUACUCAAAGUACGGUCCCUGGACCGGCACGGUCAGCAUCACACGGAAGCCUGUCAGAGGUGCAGAGUCUCAGGCCCCACCCCAGACCCAACGAGUUAGAAGCUUCAUUUUAACAAGACCCCCAAGAGAUUCACAAGCACGAUGAAGUUUGAGGAAUACGGCAGAUCGACCAAACCGAACAAGUUUCAGCAGCAAUAAGUUCCGUAGUCAGCGAGGGCUGUUCAUCUGGUUUGGAAGGAGCCCUAGUUAAAAUGAUCAGAAAGCUAAGCUUCAAACUAGCCUCCAUUCACUGGCCUCUGACCGCAGAACAGGACCGUCAGUGCAUUGUGCAUGUUUUUACAAGCUCCGCAGGUGAUUCUGACACAGAUGGGCCUGAAACACACUGUAAUAAACACUGCACAGGUUAACGAUUACACUACGAAAUCAAAGGAACACGAUGUGUACGCUAAAGUCCUGCUCCCCAUCAGCUGGAGGGGGAGACCUGAGUUCUAUUGGGCUGAAGCUGGACAAGCCGCAAACCUUGUCUGCUCCUAAACACAUCACACACACGCACACCCCACUGUGUGUGGAACAAAUUGCAGGGAUCGCGGGAUUCCCAGGUGGUGGGGGGUGGUGUUUAUAAAGCGGCUCGUGUGGCAUAGACCUGUUCCUAAUGAGGAUGGGAGAGGGUGUCUGAACCACAGCUGGUGCAGUUAAUCGGUGGGAAAGUUUUGGGCUCUGUGGUUCCUGGUUUGGGGAGUUCUGUUCAGUCUAAGGCAGAUGACAACACUCCAUCUGUUGUAGCCCCAGCCUGAAGGUGGGUCAUCAAGUAUACAUUAGCUCUUCGUGGUCUAGGUAAGACAAGCUAUCACAGGUAUUGACAAAACCGCUUCAAGUUAGAGUUGGCAAGACCUUCGAAGGCCCCUGGUGCAAGGACUGCCUGUGCAGAAUCAGCUGGGGGCCUUGUUCAUCGUGCGCUUUCCUGGACCCUGUGCUAGGAUCACGCAGAACCUCCAAGAGCCAGACCCCGGGAUCGAUAUUUUUUAGAAGCCCCCGUGUGGUUCUGGGGGUCAUCAGGUAUGCAGACCACAAAAAUUUCAUCUGCUAGAUGAGAAAAACCAAGUGACAUGCCCCAGUCCCCAGCCCCCACUCCUGUCAAGGGCUCUACUGGGGGAGACGUGUUAGCUACCCAGAAAACCAGCUCCGCCCCGGGGCUGUCGUGGGAACAGGAGAAGCACCAGUGUGAGGGGACUUUGUGCCCAUCAUGAGCCAGAUCCCCUCCUUAGUGUUGUUCUUUAUAACCCCACUGUGUCUUUGGAGAUACUUAAAAUGCAGUCUGUUUUCAAUGCCAUGUUUCUGGCCUCGCCCCAGAGCACAGCUCCAAACCGGAAGUCAGCCCGAGUGAAAAGAGCUGGUGUUUGCACCCACUAGGCAUCUGUUUGGGAUUAUACACAAUGGUUAACGUGAGAGAAAGGACAAUAAAAUUCACAUGGGCAUUAGCACAUUCCCCUUCCUGCAUUCUGCUCUGGAAAAUGUAGAAAUGUAC